rnacentral:rRNA from 1 species
UACGGAGGGGGCAAGCGUUGUUCGGAUUUACUGGGCGUAAAGCGCGUGUAGGCGGGAGAUUAAGUUGGGUGUGAAAGCCCGGGGCUCAACCCCGGGAUGCCGCCCAAGACUGGUCUCCUUGAGGACGGAAGAGGGGAGUGGAAUUCCUGGUGUAGCGGUGAAAUGCGUAGAGAUCAGGAGGAACACCCGUGGCGAAGGCGGCUCCCUGGUCCGUUUCUGACGCUGAGACGCGAAAGCGCGGGGAGCGAACGGG